AUGGCCUGGGAGCGCCCUGAGAUUCCCCCGGAGGACCUGGCCCAGGUGGCUGGAGUUUAUUGUCAGACUCUGAGAGAAUCUGAACCAGUGGCUAAAAGCCCAGGAGAUUCUCACAACCUGACCUGUUCAUGCUACUACAUGCAUUGGAUCAGAGAGGCUCCUGGUAAAGGACUGGAAUGGAUUGCUCAGCUCAGCAGUGGUGGUGGUAGCACCUGGUACUCUCAGUCAGUCCGAGGCAGGUUUUACAUCUCCAGAGACACUAGGAGGCAGCAGUUUUAUUUGCAGAUGAACGGCCUGAAAUCAGAAGAUUCUGCUGUUUAUUAUUGUGCUCGAGAGACAAAGUGA